UGUUUUAUCAACUUGUUUGCCAGUAGCUUGCCUCGCCUUAGAAACAGUUCAUACGAAGAGCAUGCUCUUGCGUAUCGAAUUAAACUACAUGUAACGCACUCAAUUAAAUGUUGUGACUAGUCAAAAAUAACUGGAGUAGAUAAUUUAGGUAUUGUUUCUUUUUUUACUUGAACUUUGAAAUAUUGUAUCAAGUUAUAUAUUUGUACACUAUUAACAAGAAGCAACGUGACUGUCUGACUGGAAAACCAUGUGAAUCAAGCGAUGAUUGUCAGAAAUCAUACGGAUGCGUCGACGAAGGAAUUUGCUGUAAAAUUUCAAGUGACUCAGCUUCAUGUCCAACGAAUUAUAGUAAUAAUCCACUCCUUGGAUGUUAUAUCAUUUUGAGAGAGAGCAACUUAAUUUCCCACAAUUAUGCAAAGGAGCGUUGUUCCGAUGAUGGAGGAGCACUUCUUUUGUUGAACUCGAAGGAGGAGACAGACGAAGUUAUAAAAUUGAUGAUUGAGGGACGUUUUUCUCAUAUUGCUAUUCAGGGCUCUAGGAGUUCUGUUAACUCUGAAUGGAUAACUGAUGAUGGAAGCCCUCUACCUUAUUUUCCUACGUCGGUCAACAAUGCACAAAAUGCUCUUAAUACAGCGCUUGUAUUGCAUGCAUAUCCUGGAUUUAGAUUGGACGCUGUAAAUCCAGAAGUUAAUAGGAUGACUUGUUUUGCUUGUGAAAUUGAGAGCUAACUAACAAUG